rnacentral:snRNA from 1 species
GGAUGCGAGGGCGAUCUGGCUGCAACAUCUGUUACCCAAUUGAUUGCCAGGGUUGAUGGGCUGAUCUGGCUGGUUAGGCAGGUGUCCCCCUUCCUCUCUCUCCGCUCCAUGUGCGUCCCUCCACAAGCUGAGUGUUCAGUCGAAGAGGAUGACCACCCCUAUAGAGGAGGGCCAUUUCCUCAGUCAAGGGUAUACAAGUAGCUCUCAAGUUAACAAGCUCGCAAGACAACCCU